rnacentral:pre_miRNA from 1 species
UAACUACUCCCUCCGUCCGGAAAUACUUGUCGGAGAAAUGCAUGUAUCGAGACGUAUUUUAGUUCUAGAUACAUCCAUUUCUGCGACAAGUAAUUCGCGGAGGGAGUAUUUG